rnacentral:rRNA from 1 species
CAAACCAAAGCUGGCGACCGGCGCACGGGUGAGUAACACGUAUCCAACCUGCCUCAUACGUCGGGGAUAGCCUUUCGAAAGAAAGAUUAAUAUCCGAUAGCAUAUAUUUCCCGCAUGGGUUUUAUAUUAAAGAAAUUCGGUAUGAGAUGGGGAUGCGUUCCAUUAGUUUGUUGGGGGGGUAACGGCCCACCAAGACUACGAUGGAUAGGGGUUCUGAGAGGAAGGUCCCCCACAUUGGAACUGAGACACGGUCCAA